rnacentral:rRNA from 1 species
AGAGUUUGAUUCUGGCUCAGAACGAACGCUGGCAGCGUGGAUUAGGCAUGCAAGUCGAACGGAUCCCGUGUGUUCAAUCUUUACGAGAGAACGUGCGGGUGAGAGUGGCGAAAGGGUGAGGAACACGUGGGUAAUCUGCCCUCGAGUUGGAGAUAACCCCGCGAAAGCGGGGCUAAUACCGAAUACGAUGUUCCGAUGCAUAUCGGGAUUAUCAAAGGCGGGGAUUCUUCGGGACCCGUCGCUUGGGGAGGAGCCCGCGUCCUAUCAGCUUGUUGGUGAGGUAACGGCUCACCAAGGCUUACGGGUAGCUGGUCUGAGAGGACGGUCAGCCACACUGGGACUGAGACACUGCCCAGACUCCUACGGGAGGCUGCAGUCGAGGAUCAUUCACAAUGCGCGAAAGCGUGAUGAUGCGACGCUGCGUGGAGGAUGAAGGCCUUCGGGUCGUAAACUCCUGUCAUUCGGAAACAAUGGCUCCGUCAUUAAUACCGGCGGAGCGUGAUAGUACCGAAAGAGGAAGCCACGGCUAACUCUGUGCCAGCAGCCGCGGUAAUACAGAGGUGGCGAGCGUUGUUCGGAUUUACUGGGCGUAAAGGGUGCGUAGGCGGUUCUGUAUGUCGGGUGUGAAAGCUCACCGCUCAACGGUGAAAUGGCAUUCGAAACUGCAGGACUAGAGUGCAGGAGAGGAGAGCGGAAUUCUUGGUGUAGCGGUGGAAUGCGUUGAUAUCAAGAAGAACACCGGUGGCGUAGGCGGCUCUCUGGAAUGCAACUGACGCUGAUGCACGAAAGUCGGGGGAGCAAACAGGAUUAGAUACCCUGGUAGUCCCGACUGUAAACGGUGUACACUUGGUGUGGGGGGAAUUGACCCCCCCCGUGCCGGAGCUAACGCGUUAAGUGUACCGCCUGGGGAGUACGGCCGCAAGGUUAAAACUCAAAGAAAUUGACGGGGGCCCGCACAAGCGGAGGAGCAUGUGGCUCAAUUCGAGGCAACGCGAAGAACCUUACCAGGGCUUGACAUGCAGCUGCAAUCCCGAUGAAAGUUGGGACGCCUUCGAGGGUGCUGCACAGGUGCUGCAUGGCUGUCGUCAGUUCGUGCCGUGAGGUGUUGGGUUAAGUCCCGCAACGAACGCAACCCUUGUAUUUAGUUGCUACCGUGGGUGAUGAGCCCGCGGGCACUCUAAAUAGACUGCCCGUGACAAGCGGGAGGAAGGUGGGGAUGACGUCAAGUCAGUAUGGCCCUUACGCCCUGGGCUGCACACGUGCUACAAUGGCCGGUAUAGAAGGAAGCAAUGUCGCGAGGCGGAGCAAAUCCCCAAAACCGGCCCCAGUUCGGAUUGGAGUCUGCAACUCGACUCCAUGAAGUUGGAUUCGCUAGUAACGGCGUAUCAGCUACGGCGCCGUGAAUACGUUCCCGGGCCUUGUACACACCGCCCGUCACAUCAUGAAAGCCGUCUGCACCCGAAGUCCCACCUUGUGUGGGCCGAAGGUGUGGGUGGUGAUUGGGAUGAAGUCGUAACAAGGUAGCCGUAG